rnacentral:rRNA from 1 species
GUGUCAGCAGCCGCGGUAAUACGUAGGUGGCAAGCGUUAUCCGGAAUUACUGGGCGUAAAGCGCACGCAGGCGGCGCCUUAAGUCUGACGUGAAAGCUCCUGGCUUAACUGGGAGAGGUCGUUGGAGACUGGGGCGCUUGAGGUGAGGAGAGGGGUGCAGAAUUCCCGGUGUAGUGGUGGAAUGCGUAGAUAUCGGGAGGAAUACCAGUGGCGCAAGCGGCGCCCUAGCCUUGACCUGACGCUCAUGUGCGAAAGCGUGGGGAGCGAACGGGAUUAGAAACCCCGGUAGUCC